GGCCGCCAAAGAAAUAAUCAAUUAGUUCCGUUGUAUUCAUUAGCCACGUCUGAACUAUCUUUUAUUUUGAAAAAUGACCAGAUUCUCUUACUUACAUCCACCUUUUCUCAAAUUUACCCUCACAACCUAGCACAAUGCAUAAAAAACACGUCUUUGGAAAGUUUAUUUUUGAAGGGGAAAAGGCUCAGUGAAGGGAAAAAAGAAGAGCCUACAUCUUCCAAGAAAAGAGUUAUUAACAACAUUAAAGCACAUGCCUGACUUUUUGAGGAGCAUUUUGGACGCGAAGUGAGUGUUUGAAUUACGAGACCCGCUGCAAAGAUUACUCUCAGAAAAAAGUCGGCACCGGCAGCACAUUCAUUCUCCCAGCUGGUGCCUCCUUAACUGUCUUUGUUAUUAAAAGAGUUCGAGCGCUACUUUCCAACUAAAAAGGACCCACAAACUGCCAAGGGAUGGAUCCGUGACCCAUUUAUCAACAAACGAAGUGAAUCCAGCAUGUGUGUGCACAAAAAGAUCAACUGCUGGAGAUUGCAAACGAUGGAGACUUUAAAGAUGGGACCAUCUCAUUGCAGAGAAAGAAGCUCAGGUGUUAGCGUUAUGCCAUUCACCUGUUCUGUCCACUGCCUACUACGAGUCCACUCUGCUGCCUGCCAACACAACCUGCAUCACCUCCUUAACCUUCAUCAAUAAACAGUUCAUCAUAUUACAUCUGCCUCCUGUAACUCUUGGGUCCAGCUCCUCACAAUUUAUGACAUGACUACCGUAAUGGUCUUCUCACUGGAGUCCCUCAAAAGAGCAAUGAACAGCUGCAGCUCAGGUUCUGACCAGAGCAAAGAGGCCAAAACAUAUAACUCCAAUUCCAAAGUCUCUACACUGGCUCCCAGUCAGCUUUAAAAUAGAUUUGAGAGUUCUGCUAGCAGUCGAUAAAUCACUAAAUUGGUUUAGGUCCUGAAUAAACGAAAGAAAUGCUCAUGGUAUAUAAACCCAUUACGCCUCUGAUAUCAAGAAACUCAGUUCAAAUAAAGGAGCACAGAGUCCGAGGCAAAGAUGGUGAAUCAAUAUUUACCUCUUAUGUUGCACACAAAUGAAAAAAACAACGAAAGCCACAUUAACCCCAUGUGUGAAUGUUUUUAAAUCCAGGUUAAAUGUUUUUUUUUGUGAUGCUUUUUAGAGCAUUUCCUCUUAUCAAUUAUCUUUCUUGCACUGUAUGCUGUUUUAAUUGUAUUUUUAUGUUUCCCCUUGUUUCAAAUGUUUUUAAGCUGUUAUUUGUGUUUAAAUAUGCAUAUGCAUAUUGAAUUACAUUGUGUAUGAAAUCCGCUAUAUAAAUAAAUCUGCUUUGCUUUCCCAAAGCUCAAUUUUAAAUUUACUUCAAACAACAACAACAAGAAAAUAAAUAAGUAACAACUAAAAUAAUAAAAAUAAAAUAAUAGCAAUACCAAACAAUGAAUAAAAAUAAAUACCUGCUGCUCCUGC